AGUCGAGCGAACAGAUAAGGAGCUUGCUCCUUUGACGUUAGCGGCGGACGGGUGAGUAACACGUGGAUAACCUACCUAUAAGACUGGGAUAACUUCGGGAAACCGGAGCUAAUACCGGAUAACAUAUUGAACCGCAUGGUUCAAUAGUGAAAGGCGGCUUUGCUGUCACUUAUAGAUGGAUCCGCGCCGUAUUAGCUAGUUGGUAAGGUAACGGCUUACCAAGGCAACGAUACGUAGCCGACCUGAGAGGGUGAUCGGCCACACUGGAACUGAGACACGGUCCAGACUCCUACGGGAGGCAGCAGUAGGGAAUCUUCCGCAAUGGGCGAAAGCCUGACGGAGCAACGCCGCGUGAGUGAUGAAGGUCUUCGGAUCGUAAAACUCUGUUAUCAGGGAAGAACAAAUGUGUAAGUAACUGUGCACAUCUUGACGGUACCUGAUCAGAAAGCCACGGCUAACUACGUGCCAGCAGCCGCGGUAAUACGUAGGUGGCAAGCGUUAUCCGGAAUUAUUGGGCGUAAAGCGCGCGUAGGCGGUUUUUUAAGUCUGAUGUGAAAGCCCACGGCUCAACCGUGGAGGGUCAUUGGAAACUGGAAAACUUGAGUGCAGAAGAGGAAAGUGGAAUUCCAUGUGUAGCGGUGAAAUGCGCAGAGAUAUGGAGGAACACCAGUGGCGAAGGCGACUUUCUGGUCUGUAACUGACGCUGAUGUGCGAAAGCGUGGGGAUCAAACAGGAUUAGAUACCCUGGUAGUCCACGCCGUAAACGAUGAGUGCUAAGUGUUAGGGGGUUUCCGCCUUAGUGCUGCAGCUAACGCAUUAAGCACUCCGCCUGGGGAGUACGACCGCAAGGUUGAAACUCAAAGGAAUUGACGGGGACCU
rnacentral:rRNA from 1 species